CAGUCGCCACGGGAAUACGAAGGGUGCAAGCGUUACUCGGAAUUACUGGGCGUAAAGCGUGCGUAGGUGGUGGUUUAAGUCCGUUGUGAAAGCCCUGGGCUCAACCUGGGAAUUGCAGUGGAUACUGGGUCACUAGAGUGUGGUAGAGGAUAGUGGAAUUUCCGGUGUAGCAGUGAAAUGCGUAGAGAUCGGAAGGAACAUCUGUGGCGAAGGCGACUAUCUGGGCCAAUACUGACGCUCAUGCACGAAAGCGUGGGGAGCAAACAGGAUUAGAUACCCCCGUAGUCCCUGUCUCUUAUAC
rnacentral:rRNA from 1 species